CCGUAUGUGGCACAGCGAAAGCGUUAAGUAUUCCACCUGGGGAGUACGUUCGCAAGAAUGAAACUCAAAGGAAUUGACGGGGGCCCGCACAAGCGGAGGAACAUGUGGUUUAAUUCGAUGAUACGCGAGGAACCUUACCCGGGCUUGAAAUGCAGAAGACGGAUCGGGAAACCGAUUUUCCAGCAAUGGCUUCUGUGUAGGUGCUGCAUGGUUGUCGUCAGCUCGUGCCGUGAGGUGUCGGCUUAAGUGCCAUAACGAGCGCAACCCUUGCCAAUAGUUACUAUCAGGUAAUGCUGAGGACUCUAUUGGGACUGCCAUCGUAAGAUGCGAGGAAGGUGGGGAUGACGUCAAAUCAGCACGGCCCUUACGUCCGGGGCGACACACGUGUUACAAUGGGGAGUACAGAGGGUUGCUACCUGGUGACAGGAUGCUAAUCUCUUAAAUCUUCUCUCAGUUCGGAUCGAAGUCUGCAAGUUCGACUUCGUGAAGCUGGAUUCGCUAGUAAUCG
rnacentral:rRNA from 1 species